GUUUGAUCAUGGCUCAGAACGAACGCUGGCGGCGUGGAUAAGACAUGCAAGUCGAGCGAUCGUUACGGGGUAGCAAUAUUCCGUAACGGGAGCGGCGCAAGGGUGCGUAACACGUGGGUAAUCUGCCGUGAAGUUUGGGAUAAUCCCGCGAAAGCGGGACUAAUACCGGAUGUGGCCAUUGGGAGGCAUCUCCUGAUGGCUGAAGCUGGGGACCGUAAGGCCUGGCGCUUCAUGAUGAGCCCGCGGCCUAUCAUCGGUAGUUGGCGGGGUAACGGCCCACCAAGCCUGAGACGGGUAGCUGGUCUGAGAGGACGACCAGCCACACUGGAACUGAGACACGGUCCAGACACCUACGGGUGGCAGCAGUCGAGAAUUUUUCACAAUGGGCGCAAGCCUGAUGGAGCGACGCCGCGUGGGGGAUGAAUGGCUUCGGCCCGUAAACCCCUGUCAUUCGCGAUCAACCGUUGUUAUUUAAAAGAUGACAGCCUGAUAGUAGCGGAAGAGGAAGGGACGGCUAACUCUGUGCCAGCAGCCGCGGUAAUACAGAGGUCCCAAGCGUUGUUCGGAUUCACUGGGCGUAAAGGGUGCGUAGGUGGUGGGGUAAGUCGGAUGUGAAAUCUCGGAGCUCAACUCCGAAAUGGCAUUGGAAACUGCCCUGCUAGAGGGUCGGAGGGGGGACUGGAAUUCUCGGUGUAGCAGUGAAAUGCGUAGAUAUCGAGAGGAACACCAGUGGCGAAGGCGAGUCCCUGGACGACACCUGACACUGAGGCACGAAAGCUAGGGGAGCAAGCAGGAUUAGAUACCCUGGUAGUCCUAGCCGUAAACGGUGCGCGUUUGCUGUAAGAGGAAUCGACCCCUUUUGUGGCGUAGCCAACGCGUU
rnacentral:rRNA from 1 species